GAMCAGCCAAUAGCUACUUUCCUUACUGAGGGGUUGGCAACACUGGUGGGAGCUUUUCGGCACAACACCUGUUCCUGUCGUGAGUCCAUAUUGCGUUCAUAGAGGAAAAUGAGAACUCGCAGGUGUGCUACAGAGACAGAAUAUUCCAAGAACCUCCAGAGCCUUCAGACCAACUACCUGCAAUUUCUCCAGAACACAGAAAAGUGAGUCUGCUGGGCCAUGGAAGUCUGGAGCACUAUAGCAAAACUGCCACCAUGUUGUCAGCUAUCAGCAGACAGUUCCCUGAGGAAGGAUGCAACGAUCAAGGCUUUAAAAAAUAAACUACUCUUGUAAAAAAACUUUUUUUUACUAACUACAUCUGACAACAUGCAGACUUUCUCCAAGAAAACAGAGCUUAUGAUUCAAAAAGGUUUAAAAUCAAUGAACGUCUCAUAUCUAGGGUGAAUACAUUUGUAUUCAUGUAUAUAAGACGUCACACAGGUAUGCCAAGUGAAAUAUAUAUCCCAAACAAGACUGAAGUAUAGGACAAAUAGGCUGCGUUUAGACUGGCAGCCCAAUUCUGAUAUUUUUUUCACGAGUUGGUAUUUUGACCAAUCAGAUCAGCUCUGAAAAAUAACUGAUGUUAAUAUUUGAGUUGUUACAUACAUCUUAAAUGGCUACUAGACAGAGAUAAGGAGACUCUUGCUGUCAACAAAGGGGAAGGUACCACUGAAGGCMUAUGGCGAUUUUUCAGUAGCAUAUUGUGAAAUAUUAAUGUAAUAAAACAGAAUCAUUAAAAGCUUGAAAGGAACCUGUAACCRCACCUGUAUAGCAUAAGAAAAGCCAAUAUACAAAAUAAAUAGACACAUUGUAAUCCAGAUGCAUGCCUGGAUAAGAAGUGUCAGAAUCAAUAUAAUGAAUGUACUUAUGACUAUAGCCUGGUGGGUGCUGAUAUAAUCUAUAUAAUGAAUGUACUUGUGACUGCAGCCUGGUAAAGGCCCCUAUUAUUAUUUUACCAAACUGUCACAGUUGCGCCACCAAUAUAAUCGGUUCAAUGAUUAGUAGAGUGUUCAAUUAUUUGUAAUUGGGAAAAAGCCCACCUCAAACAAUAGUGGCGCGAAGCUAAAAAGAGUUGAUCAUUAACAUAAAGARGAGUAACUAUGUAUGUGAUGUAAGGAUGAAAACUGUAUACAAGGAGUGUGCCGA